rnacentral:rRNA from 1 species
CGAGAACGUUCUGGCUUUGCCAGGACAAGUACAGUGGCGGACGGGUGCGUAUCGCGUAGAUAACCUGCCCUUAGGCGCGGGACAAUCACGGGAAACCGUGGCUAAUACCGCACGUCGUCUGGGCCCCGCAUGGGGACCAGAUGAAAGCUUGGGGUUACCCAGGCGCCUUGGGAUGGGUCUGCGUUGGAUUAGCUUGUUGGUGAGGCAACGGCUCACCAAGGCGACGAUCCAUAGCUGGUCUGAGAGGACGAUCAGCCACACUGGGACUGAGACACGGCCCAGACUCCUACGGGAGGCAGCAGUGGGGAAUCUUGCACAAUGGGGUCACCCCUGAUGCAGCCAUGCCGCGUGGAGGAAGACACCCCUAUGGGGCGUAAACUCCUUUUCUGAAUGAAGAAACCCCUGUAGGUUCAGGGCGCGACGGUAGUUCAGGAAUAAGCACCGGCUAACUCCGUGCCAGCAGCCGCGGUAAUACGGAGGGUGCAAGCGUUGUCCGGAAUCACUGGGUGUAAAGGGUGUGCAGGCGGGGCAACAAGUCGGAUGUGAAACCCCAUGGCUCAACCAUGGAGGUGCAUUCGAAACUGUUGCUCUUGAGUCCCGGAGAGGCUGUCGGAAUUCGUGUGUAGCGGUGAAAUGCGUAGAUAUCACGAGGAACACCAGAGGCGAAAGCGGGCAGCUGGACGGGUACUGACGCUCAGGCACGAAAGCGUGGGGAGCA